rnacentral:rRNA from 1 species
GGCUUGCUGGAUCGCAACUGACGCUGGGGGACGAAAGCUAGGGGAGCAAACAGGAUUAGAUACCCUGGUAGUCCUAGCCCUAAACCAUCAGGACUUGGGGUUUGCCCUGUACGGGGCAAGUCCCGGAGCUAACGCGUUAAGUCCUGCGCCUGGGGAGUACGGUCGCAAGACUGAAACUCAAAGGAAUUGACGGGGGUCCGCACAAGCGGUGGAACAUGUGGUUCAAUUCGACGCAACGCGAAGAACCUUACCUGGGCUUGAACCGCACAGGACCCUCCCUAGAAAUAGGGACUUCCCGCAAGGGACCUGUGUAGAGGUGCUGCAUGGCUGUCGUCAGCUCGUGCCGUGAGGUGUUGGGUUAAGUCCCGCAACGAGCGCAACCCUUACUCAUAGUUGCUACCCGCAAGGGAGAACUCUAUGAGGACUGCUCCGGAUAACGGAGAGGAAGGUGGGGAUGAGGUCAAGUCAGCAUGGCCUUUAUGUCCAGGGCUACACACGUGUUACAAUGCGCGCCACAAAGUGUCGCGAACCCGUGAGGGGGAGCUAAUCGCAAAAAAGCGCGCUCAGUUCGGAUUGCAGUCUGCAACUCGACUGCAUGAAGCCGGAAUCGCUAGUAAUGGCGUAUCAGAUCGACGCCGUGAAUACGUUCCCGGGCCUUGUACACACCGCCCGU